CCAGUAUGUGUGGAGCCGUCCUUGAAAUACCACCCUUGUAGUGUUGAUGUUCUAACGUCGACCCCUAAUCGGGGUUGCGGACAGUGCCUGGUGGGUAGUUUGACUGGGGCGGUCUCCUCCCAAAGAGUAACGGAGGAGCACGAAGGUGGGCUAAUCACGGUUGGACAUCGUGAGGUUAGUGCAAUGGCAUAAGCCCGCUUGACUGCGAGAAUGACAAUUCGAGCAGGUGCGAAAGCAGGUCAUAGUGAUCCGGUGGUUCUGAAUGGAAGGGCCAUCGCUCAACGGAUAAAAGGUACUCCGGGGAUAACAGGCUGAUACCGCCCAAGAGUUCAUAUCGACGGCGGUGUUUGGCACCUCGAUGUCGGCUCAUCACAUCCUGGGGCUGAAGUCGGUCCCAAGGGUAUGGCUGUUCGCCAUUUAAAGUGGUACGCGAGCUGGGUUUAGAACGUCGUGAGACAGUUCGGUCCCUAUCUGCCGUGGGCGUUGGAAGAUUGAAG
rnacentral:rRNA from 1 species